AUGCUCAGGCUCAAGGUAAAAUCUGCUCUUGGCCGGGCUCAAUGCCUUUGGUCUCGCCUAGUCUGUCACCGUAAUCCGUUGUACUCGAUAGCUCAUCGGACAAGGAGGAUGUUGGAGACAAAUGCAACAUCAGUGUUGCUAGAAGAGAAUGUCUGUAAGAGAAAGUCGGAUGAUGUGCGAUGGGAGUAUGGGAGUCUAGACGAUGUUUCCAACAAGGACAAAGUGAAGUGUUUGUUUUGUAACCACGUGAUCAUUGGAGGUGUUUAUCGUCACAAGCAGCAUGUGGCUCACAUUGGUAAUUUUGUGGCUAAAUGCAAGAAAAGCUCGCAGGAAGCUAAAGAUAGGUGCAAGAAAUCUCUUGAGGAGGCAUCUAAGAAGAGGAGGGAAAAGACUUCACGUGAGCUAGAGCUCAGAGAAGGCGUGAAUAUUUAUCGUGCUGGAGAUGCUUAA
rnacentral:rRNA from 1 species